GCCCUUUCUUUUUCGAUGAUCGGUCCUUAUAUACGCUUCGUCGGCUUGACCGACUAUGGCGAUAAACAGGCGAUGAAAUAAGCCGUUCGGACCCGGGGGCGGUACCCGGCGCCUCCACCAAAAACCGCUCUCCCGAAAGGGAGCGGCUUUUGCUGGGGGCGAAAUAGGAUCGACGAAGGUGUAAAGAUCGUACUUUCGCCCGGCAUUGUACCACCGUUAUCGGGCUAAACUUAUAGUUGCCAACGACAACUAUGCGGAAGCUCGUCUCGCUGCUUAAUGCGGCGCGAACGCUUCAAAUCAAGCCCUAGAGGUUCGCACUUCUAGGCGGGGUUCGGAGGUACCUGGCAACAGAAACCUCCACU
rnacentral:tmRNA from 1 species